rnacentral:rRNA from 1 species
AGAGUUUGAUCCUGGCUCAGAUUGAACGCUGGCGGCAUGCCUAACACAUGCAAGUCGAACGAAGGCUUCGGCCUUAGUGGCGCACGGGUGCGUAACGCGUGGGAAUCUGCCCUCAGGUUCGGAAUAACAGCGAGAAAUUGCUGCUAAUACCGGAUGAUAUCGCGAGAUCAAAGAUUUAUCGCCUGAGGAUGAGCCCGCGUAGGAUUAGCUAGUUGGUGUGGUAAAGGCGCACCAAGGCGACGAUCCUUAGCUGGUCUGAGAGGAUGAUCAGCCACACUGGGACUGAGACACGGCCCAGACUCCUACGGGAGGCAGCAGUGGGGAAUAUUGGACAAUGGGCGAAAGCCUGAUCCAGCAAUGCCGCGUGAGUGAUGAAGGCCUUAGGGUUGUAAAGCUCUUUUACCCGGGAUGAUAAUGACAGUACCGGGAGAAUAAGCUCCGGCUAACUCCGUGCCAGCAGCCGCGGUAAUA